rnacentral:rRNA from 1 species
GACGAACGCUGGCGGCGUGCUUAACACAUGCAAGUCGAACGGAAAGGCCCUGCUUGCAGGGUACUCGAGUGGCGAACGGGUGAGUAACACGUGGGUGAUCUGCCCUGCACUUCGGGAUAAGCCUGGGAAACUGGGUCUAAUACCGGAUAGGAGCCAUUUUUAGUGUGAUGGUUGGAAAGUUUUUUCGGUGUAGGAUGAGCUCGCGGCCUAUCAGCUUGUUGGUGGGGUAAUGGCCUACCAAGGCGGCGACGGGUAGCCGGCCUGAGAGGGUGGACGGCCACAUUGGGACUGAGAGACGGCCCAGGCGCCUACGGGAGGCAGCAGGGGGGAAUGUUGCACGAUGGGCGCCAGCCUGAUGCAGCGCCGCCGCGUGGGGGAUGACGGUCUUCGGGUUGUAAACUCCUUUCGCUAGGGACGAAGCUUUUUGUGACGGUACCUAGAUAAGAAGCACCGGCUAACUACGUG